rnacentral:piRNA from 1 species
UUAAAGUUUCCAUUUAUGCUCAGUCAAGA